rnacentral:rRNA from 1 species
UGGGGAAUAUUGCACAAUGGGCGAAAGCCUGAUGCAGCAACGCCGCGUGAGUGAUGAAGGUCUUCGGAUUGUAAAGCUCUGUCUUUUGGGACGAUAAUGACGGUACCAAAGGAGGAAGCCACGGCUAACUACGUGCCAGCAGCCGCGGUAAUACGUAGGUGGCGAGCGUUGUCCGGAUUUACUGGGCGUAAAGGGUGCGUAGGCGGAUGUUUAAGUGAGAUGUGAAAUACCCGGGCUUAACUUGGGUGCUGCAUUUCAAACUGGAUAUCUAGAGUGCAGGAGAGGAGAAUGGAAUUCCUAGUGUAGCGGUGAAAUGCGUAGAGAUUAGGAAGAACACCAGUGGCGAAGGCGAUUCUCUGGACUGUAACUGACGCUGAGGCACGAAAGCGUGGGCAGCAAACAGGAUUAGAUACCCUGGUAG